ACCAACAUGGCGCUGUUCAGUAAGCCCAUAACUGUACACAAUACUUGUUAUGAAAUUGGACAUUGCUGGUCGCCGUAUUGUGUUCAGGCGUCCGUAGAUGUUUCAAAAAUCGUGUUUCAAGAGGCCUUUAAACUCUACGGUUCUCUUUACUUGUUGGCGGCCAUACUGCGGAAGAAAGGCAAGUCUUACUAUUUGAAGAAACUUCUCCCUGAGACCCUGCAGUCCAGCUUCUUCCUGACUGUCAAUGGAACGUUGUUCUUGUCAUUCUUCUGUUUGUGGAGGAAAAUCUCGGGCCGUUUUUAUUUCAACUCCCCUUUUCUCUCGGCGUAUUGUGGCGCCUUUGUAGCUAUUCUACUGGAACGGAAAUCCAGGCGGGGACUGCUGGCUGUUUACCUUACAAACUUGGCACUGGAGACAGCGUACAGAAUGGCCAAAUUCAGGGGCCUCAUCAAGCCAGUCGUACAUGGAGAGGUUCUUCUAUUCAGCAUCGCCUCCGCUGUCUACUUCUACCUCUUCAGACGCGAGUCGAGUCUGCCCCAGUCCACAAUCUCCGGCCUCCAAUACAUCGUAGGCUCAGCAGAGUGCCCUCAAUCUGCCACAUCACCUGGGCGAAGCUCUAACAACAAUGAGGAACCAGAGAGGUCAAGGUCGAGGACUGGUCUGGCACUGCUGGACAAGAUGGUGGCCCGCCUGGAGGCCAGUCCUCGACACAGGAUGUGUCAGCAUCGGGGUGGAUGUGUCCUGUAUGUUCUCAAGGGCUGUUACAGACUGUUCGGGAUGGGAUACUUGAUACAGGCUGGUGUCAAACUGCUGUCAUCUCUCACAAGACUCCACAAGCAGCCCCGGCUACUGUUUGAUGCUCUGUUCAAUAAAGACAACUUCAGACUCGGAGCCUUCCUAGGAUCUUUCUCAGGGUUAUUUAGGCUGGUGAACUGUGUGUUGCGAUGGGUUCGUAACCGUGACAGCAGCUUCCACGGUCUACUGUCUGGGUUUGUCGCAGGAUGGUCCAUGCUGUGGUACAAGAGUUCAACCAUCGCCCUCUACACCGCCACCAAGAUGGCCGAGAUGCUGUACUUCAAGGGGAUCGAUGCUGGUUAUCUCCCUUACAUCAAGUGUGCCGAUGUUCUCAUCUACUCCGUGUCCACUGCUGUUGCCUUUCAUGCUGCUGUGCUGGAACCCCAUACGCUGCGGCCAGCAUACUGGAAGUUCCUGAUACGGGUCACCCACGAAAAAUUCCGCCAUAUGAACCGGAGACUGCUGGAUGUGUUUGGGGUCCAGUCCUCCCUGAUGUUCCCGGACGACUGGCCGAACUAUGACCCCAGGUUCACAAACAUCACACCUCCCAGUUGAUGAUUGAACCCCACAGACUCACGUAGUGGGAUUGUAUUAACAUAGGAAUUGAUAUAUCAGGACAAUGUUUCACAUCAACGUUGACACAUCAGGACACCAUAUGACAUGCAGUCACAUUAAGACACCAAUAUUUGACGUGUCGAAUCACUAUCGACAUCAGGGGACGGCAAUGUCACUCAAGAAGCCAUUGUUUACACGUAUCGAUGCAUGUUUUCAACAGGUGUCGACACAUCUAGAAGUCAAUGUUAACAAGUUUCAAUGCAUUGAGAGGCCAAUGUUUUCAACAGGUGUCGACACAUCUAGAAGUCAAUGUUAACAAGUUUCAUUUCAUUGAGAGGCCAAUGUUUUCAACGGGAAUCUAGAAGCCAUUGUUUGGCUAUUGACUACUUUGCCACCAGCAGAUUAAUAAUUAUACCUUUUUUUAUGUUUUGUUACCGAUUCUACCAUUUCCAUUGCACAUUACUCCUUCUCUGCUUUUCGUAUCUAAGUUAUUCUUUGGUUCUUUUAUAAUAAUUAAUGCUGUUUUUAUUUAGUGCCUAUGAUUAUAAAUAAUAUAAUUUAAUAAUUACACAAUAUGUAUUAUCUCCUAUGCAUUGUACUAAGACAGACAGCUCUGUUUGAAACUCUAUUUAGAACAUGAAUCUGUACAAUACCUGUGCCUUUGAAUUAAUGACAGCUAGAUCUUAUGGUAAACCCGACUUAUAUAUAUAUGCUGACAGAAUAGAAUUAGGGAACUCGGAUCAAUAUGGCAGAAGAAAGUUUGCUCAGGAGGGAUGUUUCAUAUGAGAUAGGUGAAAGGUGUUGGGUUUGCCGGCUAUGUUCUUAAGCAACCUCAAGUUAUCUUCAGGGUACAUAGAGAUGUCAUAGGUCAUCACGUUUCUCUGUAACUUUUUUAACAUGGAGAUUUAGCAUCAGGACCUGCCAUGUUCGUGCCAUAAUACCUACCUACCGGAGUGCAUCGUAUUAUCAUAAUUGGUCACAAUAACUGUAGGACGUAAUAUGUAAGAGCACUUGAGCUGUGAAGUUCUUUAACGAACCUGGCCAGUUGUUUAUGGUGGCACAAUUACCUAUGCAGAGUUGUGUCCCUUAGGUACACCAGGAACCUGUUAUCGUGGAUUCGAGUGAGUAUGGUUUUACGACGCUUUUAGCAAUAUUCCAGCAAUAUCACGGCAGGGGACACCAGAAAUGUGCUUCACACAUUGUACAAAUGUCGGGUAUCAAACCCGGGUGUUCGGCGUGACGAGCAAACACUUUAACCAAUAGGCCACCCGACCGCCUCAUGGAAUCGAAUCCUGGUUCACUCUGAUGUAUGUUCCUCGGUUUGUCAGUGCCAAUACCUGUGCUUGUGGGCUUUGCCAAAGUAGUAAAUGUUUAAGACCUGCAUCUGUUCUUCCCACAUCAAGCUGACACUUCAAAGCAGCCUUAAACCAGACUCACUCACUGUUCAAAAAUAUUUAGGAAACAAUGAGGCAUGAGUGCAGUGAGUUUACCACAUCGGUGCAUCAGGAGGCAAUUGGUAUUUAAUCUGUCCCUGUAACCAGGGAAUUGGUUGUAACGAUACAAUUUGUCGCAGGAUGGAUCUCAAUAGUGAGGAUAGAUACAUGAUACCCUAUGGGAACAUUUUACACAUGUGGUGUUGAGUGUUCUCAUCAUUAAAGAAAGUAGAUCGAGAGGACACAAACAAAUGAAGUCAACAGUCAGUCAGGGCAGGUGUAGUCAGGGCAGGUGUAGUCAGGGCAGGUGUAUUCAGGGCAGGUGUAUUCAGGGCAGGUGUAUUCAGGGCAGGUGUAUUCAGUGUAGGUGUAGUCAGGGCAGGUGUAUUCAGGGCAGGUGUAUUCAGGGCAGGUGUAGUCAGGGCAGGUGUAGUCAGGGCAGGUGUAGUCAGUGUAGGUGUAUUCAGUGUAGGUGUAUUCAGUGUAGGUGUAGUCAGGGCAGGUGUAGUCAGGGCAGGUGUAGUCAGGGCAGGUGUAGUCAGUGUAGGUGUAUUCAGUGUAGGUGUAGUCAGGGCAGGUGUAGUCAGGGCAGGUGUAGUCAGGGCAGGUGUAGUCAGUGUAGGUGUAGUCAGUGUAGGUGUAUUCAGGGCAGGUGUAGUCAGGGCAGGUGUAGUCAGGGCAGGUGUAGUCAGUGUAGGUGUAUUCAGUGUAGGUGUAGUCAGGGCAGGUGUAGUCAGGGCAGGUGUAGUCAGGGCAGGUGUAUUCAGUGUAGGUGAAGUCAGGGCAGGUGUAGUCAGGGCAGGUGUAGUCAGGGCAGGUGUAGUCAGGGCAGG
rnacentral:misc_RNA from 1 species